AAAGGGAUGAUGACGAUGAAGACGAAGUGCCUGAAGAUCUGAAAGGCACUGCGAGUAUCACUUCAUUCUUCGGGAAGCCAAACAACAACAAUGUCGAAGUGAAGCCUCAUCAGUUCUUCCAGGAGAGACGUCUAGAACCAGUUGCUUUCUUCUAAAAUAUUACCUCAAUAUGCUAAAUAUUAGAAACGCUUCCAAGUUUUAUUAAGCGAAGCCCCAUCGUCAAGGUCUUUAGAAGUGUUUAUAAUCUAGCUUAAAGCAUUCAAGUACAAUCAUGGAAAUAAUAUCAGUAGACUUCUUUAAAACAAAUCUUGUCUCGAUCUUGUAGAAAAGUCUUCCUAUUUUGUAAAGCCAUUUUAUAAUGAUCGCUAGAAAUAGCACCUCCCCCCACCCUCUUUUAGUCUACGAAAUUUUUUCAAUAGGUAUAUACGAAUUCAUUUCCAUGAUUGUAUUUCGAAAGUUCAUAGUGUAGAUAAUAAAAAGUAUAUCUUCUGAAAACCAAAC